UUCUCAAAGACACCGCACUGCCUGGAGAAA
rnacentral:piRNA from 1 species